UAGGCCCUACGGGACGCAGCAGUGGGGAAUAUUGCACAAUGGGGGAAACCCUGAUGCAGCAACGCCGCGUGAGUGAAGAAGGUUUUCGGAUUGUAAAGCUCUGUUAGCAGGGAAGAGGAAGGACGGUACCUGCAGAGGAAGCCACGGCUAACUACGUGCCAGCAGCCGCGGUAAUACGUAGGUGGCAAGCGUUGUUCGGAAUAACUGGGCGUAAAGGAUGCGUAGGCGGUUAAACAAGUUAUAUGUUAAAUAUAUAGGCUUAACCUUUAGAAAGAAUAUAAAACUGUUUAACUAGAGUG
rnacentral:rRNA from 1 species